GGGAGAAACAUCUCCCGAAACUGCAGUUCGGGAGAGUUCGACAACUUUCGGCCAAUCUCGGUUUUAGUGUUAAUUGUGUUAAUUUAAAUAAAUAAGGAUGAAUACUCUGGUUAAAAUGGAGACGCAGAACUAUGAAACUUUCAGCAAGGAUGUGACAAGUUGGCAAAGAAGGCCAUUCCGCGUGGCGGGCGCGGGCCCCAGCAUGCCGCCGAUGCGUGCAGGUAGCAUGGAGCCGCUGCCGCCCGCGCACACGCCCAUCUACGAACACAAGAAGCACCGCCUGUCCCGCCUCCUCGAUAAGCUGGCCGUGCAGCUCAACAACAAUAACAACUACCCCACGCCCUCCUGGCUUGUCCACGACACGCCGCAGACCGACGAAGCCCCCUUAGACCUCAGCGUGAAGUCGCCUCGUGAGACCACAGGUAAUUUCACGUGCCACGCGUGCGGCCAGGAGUUCUCUAUCUACGACCGGCUGGUGAAGCACAUCGCGUCCCGGCACCGCAGCAAGCCGGAGGGCGUGCGCGCCUACGAGUGCGAGGUAUGCUUCCGCAAGUUCGCCCGGUCGGACAUGCUGACCCGGCACGCGCGCCUGCACAGCGGCGUCAAGCCCUACUCGUGCGCCUCGUGCGGACAGGUGUUCUCGCGCUCCGACCACUUGGCCACGCACCAGCGCACGCACACGGGAGAGAAGCCCUACCGCUGCCCGUCGUGCCCGUACGCCGCGUGCCGCCGCGACAUGAUCACGCGUCACAUGCGCACGCAUCUGCGACGUCCGCAGCCCGCCUGAAUCCAACACCCCUGAAUUUAACACAUUAUUUGAGACUGAUUUUUUCAUUCCAAAGUUAAACUAUUGUUUUAAUUGGUGUUUUGUUAUUAAGCCCGCCAGACGUGAGUUGAUUCGGUAAGACAUAUCUCAUUGCUGCGCAGAGUUGAGUCGACUGCGAUUGUGUGUUGCCAGUUUGCGAUUUUGUUGUUAUAUGCCGCAGCGAUGUCAAAUGAAUCUGCUAAGCGCAAUGCGAUGUGUCGAUCCUUAUAUCUUUGUAAUGUAUCUCGCAUUCUUGUUAUUUAGUUUUGUUUCCAAGUACGAAGAUGAUUGGAAAGUCUAUGUGUUUCACUAUCCUUUUGUAAAAUAUAUUUAAAUUUUAGUUCUGUGCCAUUGAAAUAUCGCUUUGUAAUAAUUGCGUUGUUAAUAUAUCGUUUAGAUUAAAUCUUGUUACGCAGAGUGUUGAACUAAAAUGAAAAGGGAAAAAAUUACAAAACAAAAAGGUGACUCUUGACGACUCUUUUUGGAAAGAUAUUAUUGCAUCAUUUUGUUUUUAAAUCGUUAAAAAAGCCUCUUACAAAUAGUGGUAAGACGUGUCCUAGUUUUUCUAUUAUUAAGCUUCUGCUAUACUGAGUUAAAGUUUCAUCUUGGUUAUAAGAUUGUUAUAGACGUCUCGUUUUGAUUAGUGUUAAAUUAUAAAGUAAUUUAAAUAUAAACAUAUUUAAAUUUCAGACUGUAGGUAUUUUAAGGGCCCAGUGAAAAGGUAAAUAAUUUUUGAUAAGUUUUAAGCCACGUAAUAGGCACCUUCCGUAAUGUCAAUUAUUGUGAAAAUCAUAUCCUGCCUGUUUGUCGUAAUAACUAUCAAAAGUGCAUAGGGAAUGUUUUCCUACAUAUCUCCGUUAUAAUAUUAGAUAGUAGAAUAUACGUACUUACUCACAAUUUUUGGAAAAAUAUACAAUACCUACCUAAGUAUUUGAAAAUUUAAGAAUUUCAUUUUGUAAAGCACUUAUCUACAUAAUACCAUUAAUUCAAAGUGAUUCGUAAUAAGAGUUAGAAAUGUUUAUAAAAUAGUUAAGCAGCCAUUUUGAUUUUCAAACGUACGUUACAUCGAUGUUGCCAUUUCUAAAAUGUUAUAUGAAUCAAAAUUAUUGAUAAGGUUUUGCUUUUUUAUUUUGUGUAAAUAGCGUUCGUGUAUUUAAUACACGUAGGAAUAAGUAAAUAUUUAAGUAUUUAAUUUUCAUAAUGAUGUAAUUUGUCUAAGUUAGGUAGGUAAUUUCAACGUCCCUACUUAUUUUUUUGUAUUAUGACUUGUUGCUUGGUUAAUCCUAUGCAAUAAGAGAACCCUUGUUCUAAUAGGUAUUUAAUAUUUUACUUAUCAUUCAAGACAUUAAUUCAAUUAAUUGUUUUUACCGUAUGCUCUCUUUCGAAUUCCCUAACGAUCAAAUUAUUAUCUUUUUUUUCUCCUAAUUCAUGACAUUAAGUGUUAUUUAUCUAUAGGUAUAUUUUAAUGUUUAAUUUCCUAUUUUCUUUUGUGUUCUUUAUUUAUUUCGUGCCUAUAAGUGCUAGUCACUUCUGCUACAUCACUUGACUACUUUUCUAAUUUACAUAAUAGUAUAUAAGAUAUUUAUAAGAAAAUUCUUCAAAAGAGAUGUGAUUCUCGAAGUUCAAAAGUACAAAAAAGGCAAUUUUUAAAUAGAAGUAGGUAUUUUUACAGGUUUGGUACUUACUUAGUGUAUUCUUCACCCUCCAUAGACUAAGCUAUAGAUGCUCGUUUCUGGAGUACCUAGAUUUUCUUAGGUCACAAGUGUAAUCAUGGCUGGGAAUCGAAUUCAAGACAUUUUUCUUACGUUGAUAGAAGUGGUUUAUCGUUGUUUUCUCUUCAAAUGCUCUAGAUGACCUAAAAUCAGCACCUUACUAUUAAUUUUGGUGUGUUUCAAACGUCUGUUAAUUAUUUCACAUAAUUUUGUUUUCCUUGUGUGGUUGUUUUUUCUCGCUAUGCAUUUGUUUUCAUAGUUAAGGCAAUAUUUGGACGCUUACUCCUAUUAAAGUUUUUUUACUUCAAUGUAAAGGUACGCCUCAGUGUGCAAACAUUACUAAAGUUAAGUUUAGUUUGUAGUCAUGACUCUGUUUUCCUUAAAAGGAAUUAAAAUAACGGUUUUUUGAAAACUUUGAGUUAUUUUGUAUUUUAUUGUAUCGAUAUUUUAAGGUAAUGGUUUUUAGGUAAGGGUGACAAAAUAUAAGUCUAAAAGGUACUGGUUUUUAUGGCCGUUUAAAAUAAUCUAGAUUCUAGGCUGAGGAGGGGACGGUGCAAUUCAUCCUCUUUAGAUAGAUAGGUACAUUUAUUCUCUCCUUCGCUUUGGAAUCUAGCUCUCAAAAUAAAUCAAUAGUCCUGAAGCCUGCUAAUAUUCUCGAAAAGGGUUGGAUGAUCUAUAAAUUUCCCAUCACUGAUUACUAGAUUAAUUUAGAAUCGAUAGCAUGUUAAAGCAGGUAUGAUUUUUUCCAUCACAAUUUAUUUUAAACCAGUACCUACCCCCUACCUAUACAGGUAAGUGAACUUGCGAUGAAACACGCUGAUUUUUUAAGUUUUUUUUUAUUAAAUACUGCUUCACUGUUUUUUUUUCUGAUUACGAUUGGUGCACAAGAAACUAAAAGGAACUCAGAGCAGUAUGAAAACUAAACACUGUUAUGAGUUUCUGUACCUAAUUACCUUGUUAAUAAUUUAUUUAUAGUCGGUAAAAGGAGUUAGCGUGUAUACUAAAUUGUUGUUAUAAGUAUUGAAUAAUUAAAAAUAAGUUUUACUGUGAUAAAAAAAGAUUUUUUGUUUUCAAACUGCUGUGUUUGGCAAUAUUUAUUGUCAGAUGAUUUAAAAAAUAAAUGGAUGUAAAAAUGGUGUCGUUUCAUUUUCUACAU
rnacentral:misc_RNA from 1 species